GAUGGCAGCCAUCUCCCUGGAAAACACCCCUUUAGAUUUUAACUAUGUUCUUACCUUCAAAUUAAAAAAGACACACGCAUAUACAGAGAAGAAAGGGAGAAACGACCAUAAUUCCCUUGAUUACCGCCACAAACCUCUCAUUUUUCGAACAAUAAAAAAAACGGCAGCUUGACACCUAAUCCCAAAAGGAAAAAGCAGCCACCCCCCAUUUUCCAAAAGCUUCAGCUAUCUCCUAAAUGUGAAGAAUUUAGCAACUGAUUAAUGCAUUUAAAAAAACGAUGUAUUACACCUCCAAGUUGUUUUGCAGUAAGGCAAUUUUGCCGAUUUGUAUCAAAAUUAGGAUGUUGAAGUCGUUUGAGGUCGCCGACGAGGUUCCAUCGAGGUUGUCACCUCCAAGGUUUCUGGUCUUGAAAUACUUUCAGAUUCAAAGAGCUAAGAUACCGAAGCAACAUUGGGUCAGCAGCAGUAGCUUGAGAGCCAGCCUUCAGUCCACCGAGACUCCGAGGUAGUCCUGCAGGCGUUCGCAGGCUUGACGUCUCUUCUAUGAGUUAUUUUGUUCUGUUAUCAUUGUAUCCGAGACAGACAUCGUUCCUUCUUUCAAACGUUUGUAUGUAGCAAUCAUAUAGAGUCCGUGAAUGUUGUGACACCAGUUUCUGAGUAGAGGCAUAUGUUGAUUUCCUUA